UUAAUCCUUUGGGACCUUUAGCAGGAGAAACCUGCCAUAGACCUGCAGACCCUGAAAUGUCAGCACCACAGCUCCCUCGGUGACACCUGUGCUUUGCCAGAGGAAGAUCUUAUCCACGGAUGGGUGUACACACACAGUAGAGGGCGCCUCCAGUUUCCAUCUGCCAGGGGAUGAGGUGUGGUUUCAGACAUGGUGAUCGCUUCUCUGAACGCCCUGAUGCAGCAGGGUUUCCUUUGGAUCUCUCCAAAAUGUUCUGGGCUUUUAAGGAGAAGAAAUAGCCCCUUGGCAACAAAGGAUGAGAGAACUGAUGAGCGAGGACAGAGGAUCUCCAGGAAGUAAAGCGAAGCAUCUGGACCUGACACUUUCUCAUAGCCCCCUCUACCCAGUCCAGGGGAAAACACCCAACGACAACAUCAACAACAACAACAACAACAACAACAAGUAAAAAGAGCAGGCGUUGCUGGACAUUCCAAUCGCAUGAAGUAUGCUGGGAAAAGCCCGCGGAGGGCUCUGGGUGGCUGCAAAACAAAUUUGGUGCUUAUUGUUUUGCUCCGAGAUUGGAUUUCAGACUUCUCAUAGUUAAAUCCAGCCUUCGGCACAGACUCAAGGAGGAAGAAUGAAAGGGACUCAGUGAGUGGAUGACUCCUUGGUAUUUCAACACAGUCUCUUUCCAUAGGAGAAUCACAUUUCAAGCACGGAGGUGUUUCCCUUUUUAAAAAAUGCUUGUGAAAUCCAUGACUCAUUAUGCCGUUGUAAACAGCCAAAAAAGUUCCAGAGAGUCCAGGGCAGGACGAACCACAGCUAUUCUAAUAUUUCAGCCUCUUGCUGAGCCAGCUCUUCCCACUUGGGUCCAGAAAGCAAGUGGAAGUUGAGGCGGAGGGAGCCUGCUUCCGCUCCCCGUGGGUCCUGUGGCUCCCCUCUUGAUCAGGAAUGGCCCCAAUCCAACAGGAGUGUGGGUGAUGACAUGGCUGGCUGCAACUUGACCCCAUCCUACCUCUAAUCCACUGGAAGUGUUGAGUUUUCCAGAGCCUGUGGAAAUCUCUCUUAUUUGAGGAAUUUGGCUCAGAGCACCAUGUGGGCAGAGAAGGGGGAGGAACAUUAACACCUCCAUUAUUAGGAGUAAAAAGACAAAUUUUGUAUACCACUGAAUCCCAAAGGAAAAAAUAAAAGCCAAGUUGAUGCUCCCCUAAGAGAAGUGGAGGUACAGUCUUGAGGAAUGGAUGUUGAUCCAAGAGUGACCAAGUCUCAACGCCAGUUCAUCGCGGGCCCUGUGCUCAGUGGACCCUGUGUUUCCCGUUUGCCAUUCUGUCCAUCAGACACCAGGGCGGUCCCUUCUAGGGGGACUGGUUUUAGUUUCAAAAUCCAGAACAGAACAAUGAAAGCAGCUCCGAGUUCCCUCAUAAAGCACGUCAUGUAUUGCGCCAUAUCACCUGUGUGGGAAAGUGUUUGGUAAAGGUCAGUUUUAACACUGCCUGAUCCCCAUGGGAGAACCGGGAUGCGGUUGCCUGGUACUGUUGGAAAGCUGUGCCAGAUGUUCCACCACUGGGGCUACGUCCCCCUCAACAGGAGGAGGUUGUUCUGGUUAGCCUCUCUCUACUGGGGAGUGAAGGCCAGAGAGAGGCUCCAGUCCCCAAGUCCCAGAAGGGGAACUUCAGUGUCUAA